UACGGGGGGAGCAAGCGUUGUUCGGAUUUACUGGGCGUAAAGGGCGCGUAGGCGGCCACCGCAAGUCGACUGUGAAAUCUCCGGGCUUAACCCGGAAAGGUCAACCGAUACUGCGGGGCUAGAGUGCGGAAGGGGCAACUGGAAUUCUUGGUGUAGCGGUGAAAUGCGUAGAUAUCAAGAGGAACACCUGCGGCGAAGGCGGGUUGCUGGGCCGACACUGACGCUGAUGCGCGAAAGCUAGGGGAGCAAACGGG
rnacentral:rRNA from 1 species